rnacentral:rRNA from 1 species
GAUGAACGCUGGCCGCGUGCCUAAUACAUGCAAGUCGAGCGAAGCGGGGACGGGUGAGUAACACGUGGAUAACCUCCUAUCAGACUGGGAUAACUUCGGUAACCCGGGGCUAAACCGGAUACUUAUAUAUGGAUCCGCGCUGCAGUAGCUAGUUGGUAAUGUAACGGCUUACCAAGGCAACGAUGCAUAGCCGACCUGCGAGGGUGUGCGGCCACACUGGAACUGAGACACUGUCCAGACUCCUACGGGAGGCAGCAGUAGGGAAACUGACGCAAUGGGCGAAAGCCUGAAGGAGCAAAGCCGAGGGAGUGAUGAUGGCCUUCGGUUCGUAAAACGCGGUGAUAAGGGAAGCGGUAUUUAAUCAGAAAGCCACGGCUAACUACGUGACAGCCGCCGCGGUAAUAC